AUGAACAGGGGGCCUGGAGGAUACCGAGGAGGAGGAAGAUUCAACAGGGGAGGGAGAGAUAAUUUCCAAUACAGAAGAAAGGAAGAAGAACUUGACAGAUUUAGAGAGAUCUACCCAAACAAUGAAAGGGGGGGUGGAAGAUUUGGGUUCAGGGAGGAGACUGGGAAAUCUAACCAGCAAGUGGAUGAAGAAAAGAGGGGAAUGGCAGAUCUAAAGCUUCCCUCGAGUUCCAAGGAGGAAGCUGGGAAGAGGAUGGAAGAUGAACAAAAAGCUAGAGAGCACAAAGGUAAAGAAGAUGUGGUGUUGCCUAUUUCUUCUUUCGAUCUGAUCCAACAUCAGCAGUGGUUUGGGGCUCUGAUGACCCAGAUGGCCCAACAAAAGGUGGAGAGCUCGUCUGGGGGUGGAAUUGUUGCCCCUCGUGAAAGCAGCAGAGCUGUUCAGAUUGAGGAGGCUAAGAAAGAGUUUGCUGGAGGAAAAGAUCACAUAAAUAAGAGUGAAGCUAACAUAGAUGUGGGGAACAAGCAAGGGCAGAAAGGAUGGUUCCAGAAUAACAGAUUUGGCCAGAGAGAGAUCUUGGAUCAAAACAAAGCUGGUGGAAAUUUCAGAGUGUUAUGCAGCAAGUGCAAAGACACCAGACACCUGAAUAGAGACUACAAGCUGCCCAACUGCAUCAUUUGUGGUAAGAAUUCUCACAUCACUGAGGAAUGUGCUUGGCUGAAACAAAUCAAGCCAACCCCCAAAUUCAUUUGA
rnacentral:rRNA from 1 species